AUGCAUUUGCUGAGAUUCGUGUCACUCGUACUUAUAGGCCACCAUCUGAUAAUUAUUGAAAUUUGGAGUGGAAGAUUGCGUCGAACUUUUUGCAUGCUAGAUGGAGAGCUUCAAUCGGUUCUGCUGCAGAUGUAUAUUAUCAUUAGACACUAACGGUCUCAGUUUUUUGCUUCAGAUUAGCUGUUUACUGGUGUUUCAUUAGAUCCAAUAUCUCUUGGAUAGAGUAUUAGAGCUGAAAAUCCAUUAGAUAAUGCUGUAUGCAUAUUGUUCUACAUGGUCUGCAGCUUAUGUCAAAUUUACCAGCUGCAUUGGACAUUUNAUGCAGCUGGUAAAUUUGACCUAUCGCCCAUGAAAUUUAUGUCUAUUUAUAUAUUAUAAAU
rnacentral:misc_RNA from 1 species